rnacentral:lncRNA from 1 species
CCUACACACAUCAGUGCUUCAUUCCUCCAAUCCUGCUUCUCUGAACAACUCUACAACUCCCGCAGAUGAGACUGAUUUUGAUGGCCGUCCAGCAGCUGUAGGGAAAAUCUGACAAGUGGAAAGAAAAAAACAAA